rnacentral:rRNA from 1 species
UUAAAAAUAUAUUUACUAAUUUUUUUCUUAAUUUUGUAAUAGAAAUAUCUUUUUGUUUAGUAUUUUAAUAGAAACACUUAUUGUAGUAAUAGUUUAUUAGUACUGUGAAGGAAUUAUUGAAAUAUUUUGAAAAUGUAUUUUUUAAAAAGUAUAUUUUAUUUAUAGUACCUUUUGUAUCAGGGUUGAUUUAAUUUUUUUAAAUUAUUUUAGUUUCUCGAUUUUAUAAGAGCUAAUAAAUUAAUAAGGUUAUUGUAAUAUAACUAUCUUUAAUAUUUUUUAGUGGAGAAAUUCUAUACGUUUAUAAUGGUAUCUAGUUUUUUAAGAAAUAAAUUUAAUUUAUCCCUAAAACUUACUUUUUUCUUGUUGAUAAUUUAUUUUUUGGGUUAAAACUGAUAGGGGAUAAGCUCUAUCCUUUACUAUAAUUUUUAUAAAAUUAUAAAUUUAGUAGGACUAAAAUCAACCAUCUUUUGAAAAACGUUAUAGUAUAAUUUAUUUUGAUUUAAUUUUUUUAUUUUUAGUUAUUUAUUAAAAUUAUUUAUUUAAUUUUAUUUUAUUUUAAAUAAUGAUUAUAUUAGUAUAAUUUUGUUGUUUUGUUUUAAAAAAAAUUAAAAUUGUAAUUAAGGAAUUCGGCAAAUUAAAUUUUCGCCUGUUUAUCAAAAACAUGUCCUAUUGUAUUACUUAAUAGGUCUGGCCUGCCCAGUGAUAAUUUUAACGGCCGCGGUAUAUUGACCGUGCAAAGGUAGCAUAAUCAUUAGUCUUUUAAUAGAAGGCUGGAAUGAAAGGUUUAACGAGAAAUUAACUGUCUCAAUUACAAACUUGAAUUUAUCUUUUGAGUCAAAAGACUCAAAUAUUAUUGGUGGACGAGAAGACCCUAUAGAGCUUAACAGUUUUAUUUUUAUAAUUAUUUAGUAAUAUGAUUUACUUAUACUUGUAAAAUUGUUUUGUUGGGGUGACAAUAAAUAUAUAUUUAACUUUUAUUAUAAUAUAAACAUUAAUUUAUGAUUUUUGGAUCCAGAAAUUUUGAUCAAUAGAUUAAGUUACCUUAGGGAUAACAGCGUAAUCUUCCCCCAGAGUUCAUAUUUACGGGAAGGGUUGCGACCUCGAUGUUGGAUUAAGAUAAUAGUUAGGUGUAGCAGCUUAAUUAAUAGGUCUGUUCGACCUUUAAAUUCUUACAUGAUCUGAGUUCAGACCGGUUUAAGCCAGGUCGGUUUCUAUCCCCAAUUUAAUGUCAGUUAUUAGUACGAAAGGACCAUAAUUGGAAAAUAUUUUUUAUGUUUUUGAAAUUUAUUA